rnacentral:rRNA from 1 species
GUCGAGAAUCUUCCGCAAUGGGGGCAACCCUGACGGAGCGACGCCGCGUGCGGGAUGAAGGCCUUCGGGUUGUAAACCGCUGUCACAGGUUAAGAAGGGGCUGGCGUUAACAGCGCUAGUCUUUGACAAAGGCCUGAGAGGAAGCCACGGCUAACUUCGUGCCAGCAGCCGCGGUAAGACGAAGGUGGCGACCGUUGUUCGGAAUCACUGGGCAUAAAGAGCACGUAGGCGGCAAGGUAUGUCGGGUGUGAAAUCCCUCGGCCCAACCGAGGAAUUGCGCCCGAAACUACCAUGCUUGAGGAUGGAAGGGGAGCGUGGAAUUCCUGGUGGAGCGGUGAAAUGCGUUGAUAUCAGGAGGAACACCGGCGGCGAAGGCGACGCUCUGGUCCAUUACUGACGCUGAGGUGCGAAAGCCAGGGGAGCAAACGGGAUUAGAAACCCGUGUAGUCC